UGAGCAUUUAUAGGAAGUAACAUUUAUUGAAACAUCAGUUAGAGUUUAUAGAAUAUUGAUCAUUGUCAAGACGAGUUUGACAAGUUAAGUGUGUGAUAUUGUCAAUAGAGUGCGAGAAAAUAUAUUAAAGUGCCCUGGCCUUUUUGGGAUGUCAAAACAAAACGUCUUUUGGGCGAUGCAGUUUGCGCGGUCACAUCUCAUUUGCUACGAACAGUAGAGCCAUCAAGUUGUCAUAUUAAACAGCCUACACGUUGUUUGGAGGCUUCAAUCUUACCUUGGUGUCGAGUGACCAUUUGUCCGCAAAAAAUUUCAAGAUUUUAUCUACAAACAUCAAUUUCUAUUGUGCAGAUUUAACAGAUACGAGUCAUGAAAAAGCAGACGGGAUUCGUCAUUCUAGCGCUUCUAAUCGUGAUAAUCACAGUCACAGCGAACAAAAGUUACAAAAGAUGUUCCAGGACUGAAUGCCGGGACACGGUAAUGGAUCGAAAAUGUUGCCACUUUGGAGAAAAACUUGCAAAGAGAAAAUAUGCCUGUUCGGUCGACUCGGUCAUAUCAACCCUGGAUUAUUUAAGAUCUUUGAAACGUAAAAUUCAUUCCAAAAGGACAUUGCCCGUGAAUAAGUUGUUCCACAAGGUUAAGCAAUGUAAACGUGUGGAAGAUUGUCUUCGUUGUUGUUGCAUGCAGCGUAAACAACGCAUGUUUUUUGGAGGGUGAAUCCUUGGCCAAUAUUUUACUAAAAUUAAAUGGUGUCUGAUGGUAAGAUGUAGGUAGUUUUAAUGCUCAUCAGUUAAUAUUGGAUGAAUAUACCCGAAUUUUGUAUAUUAAUUACCGUAAUUUGUAGUCGAUGCUAAUUAUAUAAGCAUAUAUAUUAAUAUAAUUGUUCAGACGGCAAGGCAUAUUUCAUCCUCAUUUCCGUCUCAAAGAGCAAUACCUAUACACAACUUAUGUUGUUCUACCUCCGUUGACUCAACAGAGAAUUACAAUGA